AGUUUGAUCAUGGCUCAGAUUGAACGCUGGCGGCAGGCUUAACACAUGCAAGUCGAACGAUGAUUAUCUAGCUUGCUAGAUAUGAUUAGUGGCGGACGGGUGAGUAACAUUUAGGAAUCUGCCUAGUAGUGGGGGAUAGCUCGGGGAAACUCGAAUUAAUACCGCAUACGACCUACGGGUGAAAGGGGGCGCAAGCUCUUGCUAUUAGAUGAGCCUAAAUCAGAUUAGCUAGUUGGUGGGGUAAAGGCCCACCAAGGCGACGAUCUGUAACUGGUCUGAGAGGAUGAUCAGUCACACCGGAACUGAGACACGGUCCGGACUCCUACGGGAGGCAGCAGUGGGGAAUAUUGGACAAUGGGGGCAACCCUGAUCCAGCCAUGCCGCGUGUGUGAAGAAGGCCUUUUGGUUGUAAAGCACUUUAAGCAGGGAGGAGAGGCUAAUGGUUAAUACCCAUUAGAUUAGACGUUACCUGCAGAAUAAGCACCGGCUAACUCUGUGCCAGCAGCCGCGGUA
rnacentral:rRNA from 1 species